rnacentral:lncRNA from 1 species
CACACCACCUCCGUCGUCACCAUCAGAGCCGCCGCCACCAUCCCACUGCCGAAAACACCACCAACAUUAAAACCCCAACACCACCAUCCCACUGCCGCCACCUCCGAACACCCAACCAUCCUCUCGCCGCCACUCCACCGUGACGAUUUGUAGCUUAAACCUACACCACCGCCGCCUUACUACUGCAGAUUUGAAGCUUAAACCUACCCCACCAUCCCCUCACCGGCCACCGUCUGCGGCGACAGCUUCUUCAACUCAUAUAGCAGUAAAUGAAGCACUUGAUCUGCUCGUUGAUGAGCUUUAGACAAUAUCGCGAUGAUUUGGGAAUUUGGGGACAUAAGUAGCAGGUUACAUGUUUAUGUGGUGUAGUGGCGGGGAUGGUGGUGGUGCGGUGGCGGGGAUGGUGGUGCAGUUGUAGGUCACUAAAUCUUUAUAUGGGGCUAUGUUGAAUAGAAGUUCGGAGUGAUCAGGUUGUUGGACUUAACAUGGGCGGAGAUUAUGGCGUUCCAAGUGAAGACGU